rnacentral:rRNA from 1 species
UACGGAGGGUGCAAGCGUUAAUCGGAAUUACUGGGCGUAAAGCGUGCGUAGGUGGUUCGUUAAGUCCGUUGUGAAAGCCCCGAGCUCAACUUGGGAAUUGCAGUGGAUACUGGCGAGCUGGAGUGCGGUAGAGGAAGGUGGAAUUCCCGGUGUAGCGGUGAAAUGCGUAGAGAUGUGGAGGAACACCAGUGGCGAAGGCGGCUUUCUGGUCUGUAACUGACGCUGAGGUGCGAAAGCGUGGGGAGCAAACAGG